rnacentral:lncRNA from 1 species
CUCUUGCUAAAAGAAACACUGUUUCCUUUAUAGUUACCAUGUGGAAAUCUGCAAGUGAUGCAUCUUGAUGGAGUUCCCAUACUCCCCCAACUUUUAUUUUAGUUAGAGGCGGUUCUGACCAGUGAGAUAAAAACAAAAGUCUAUUGUAAUUAUUUUGGGAAACUCUUGAUUUCCCAGUAAAUGGAACAUAUAUGAUUGAUGCCCUUCAAAUUCUGGUGUGUCCAGUCAGCAAAAUGAUUUCCAGAAAAACCUGCUGAUUACCCUACAGUGAGAGAGAAUACUUCUUUCAGAGAUUCCCAGCAGUGUUUUUGAAAGGGGAGGUUAGAAGAAGAUAUUUUUAGGGUUUUAGGAUCUGAAAUGGCAAGGCAUAUGACAUGAUAGUUCUGGAUUGAUGAACAUUGUGAGGUGAGAGUCUUGAAGUAAGCAUUGAUAAGCAAGAUUCAGUCUCCAAAGGUUAUCUUAUCAAGGAACAAGUAUUUCCUGAAACAAAUAGUUAACUUAGUUUUGCCUAAUCUCAGUAUUAUUUAGCACAGAAAUGUGAAUAUAUGCUUCAUCUUAGAAUUGGCUAGCACAAAUAAAGGAAAGCAUAUUUAUUCUCAGGAUUGUUUAGUAUAAGGAUAGGAAUGCAUGUCAACUGAGUUCCCACUACCUUUAUGAUGUCAUAUCUGCAACUGCAUCAGAAUGAUGUGAUACACAAGGGGAGGGCCACGAGACAACUAAUCAAAAAUAUUCUGCCACUGAACGAAUUACACUUCUAUAUCUGGAGUUCUUAUGUGAGAAGGAGAAAGCCUAACUUAUUUAAGGUAAUGGUGGCAAGAAGGCAGCUGACACCUGGAUCUGCUCAGAUCCCUACUGAUGCAAGGCCCCCAAAGGAACAUCUGUUCAUUCCUGAGGAAAUCUCUUUGCUGAAGAUAUUAAGUCCUGGUAGGAUAAGCACGUAACGUUUCAUAGAGGUUAAGAUUAGACUAGCUGAUUUGGGAUACUUAAGGCAACUGAGAAACAACUCUAGGUGCUGAUUGUUCCUAUAUAAAAACUACCCUGCUGGAAUUAUUCCUGGUAUAGUUCACUCUUUUAUUUAUGUUUCCAGGCUUGUUUUAUUUCUUCUUUCUUCUCUGUUAUUCGUGACCAUGAUUGGUGCCUCUGUGGUGCAUUGACUUUGAUCAACAUAAUGUUCAAAUCCCACAUGACCCACCUUCUUACUACUCUAGUUAACAACCACAAAAAAAUAAAAAUUAGGUUUAUCAGUAUUCCUGGAGAUAU